GCCCUGUUCGCCUUGGUCCACGCCCUUGAUUCCAAUUCCUGCCACGACCGCGUCCUCUUCCAAAUCCAUGAUUAUGACUGGGCAUGUGUGAAUUGAAGGGGCGUUCUUUGGGCAUACGGUCAGCAGCCAUAGCAACUCCUGAAGUCAUGGUGAAGUGUUGUGGCUAGCUCUUUAUAUUCAAGACCAAGUCCAUCCAAAACAUAACUGAUUAAUUCAUCAUCGUCCAUGGUUGCACCAGAUUGUAUGAGAGAAUCAAAGAGUGAUUUGGCAUAGUUGAGAUAAUCAACCACUGUGGUGCUGCUGUCCUUCCGGAGAGUGCGAAUUUGGUCUCGAAGGAUCCGUACACGGGUGCUAGCAAGAGGUGAAAGACGCUUGGCCAGCAUGGUCCAGGCUUGAUGAGCAGUGGUGCAUGGGAUGAGAAGUGUUUUGAUGGAAGAGGAGGAAGUUGCUUUGAUCCAACUCAGGACCAAUUUAUCUUUUGCUAAUUCUGGGUGCACAGAACCAUCUUCUUGCACUUUGGGUGGUUCUGUGUUGUUUUUGAUGACUGCUGUAAAGCCAUGCAUCUCCAGUAUAUCUUCAAAUUGGGAUUUCCAACUCAGGUAGUUGGUGCGAUCCAUGGGGACAGUGAACAAGGAUGAAAUAUUGAAGGAGGUGGGCAAGGAAUGGGAUGAGAGUGGAGGAGAGGAAAGUUUUGACAUUUCAGAAAUCAGUUUUGACAUAUCAAGAUUACUUGAUUCUCCAGAUUUGGGUGUGUUGGCCAUUGGUUUGGGUAGGAUCGAUUUUUGAGGGUUAGCUCCAAAGAGCUCUGAUACCAUAUAAAGAUUAUAAACUCAAUGGAAGAGAAAAAGAUGAGAGCAGAGAGAUUGAGAAUUAUUGCUACACAACCGUGUCUUCUAUUAAGUUGUAUGCAGUAUAAAUAUUAGUACAUCGGUAGACUUUUCUAUUUACAGAAACUUAGCAAUGUAAGGUAAGUCCAAUCAAUUACAUGUAUUACAAAGGGAAUGUCAAUUAAUCAUUCUAACUAAGGAAUGCAGUUGCUUGGGAUUA